UUUUAAAGUGCCCCUUGAGAAAUUUGAUCAAUUGAUGAGGAAGCUUGUUGAAGAAGUUACUCAAGAUACCCAUACAAACUAGGAUUUCCAAGGCAAACCAACUCCAAACUCUUGAAGAAAUCUUGAUCAGAAUAACAUGCAAAGAUCAUUGGGACUCAUAUAUGAUGUUUAAAGACAUUGUGGAUCAUUCCUUGAUUGUGCUCUUAGCUAUGAGGCUUGCCAUACCCCAAAAUUCAC
rnacentral:lncRNA from 1 species